ACCCUACCGCCAAAAACAAAAACAGUAGCCAAAACCAUGAUUGUCACGUCGGCAGCUGCACAUAGCAAUGCGUUAGCCCUUCUAGCGAACCGAAUUAAGGUCCUGUAGGUCAAAAGAUAAAAUAUCAAUCCCUGUCAAACAAACAGGAAAUUAAUGAAGAAUAGACCAAGUGAUUUUGUAUCUGCAUGCAUCUUGUUUGAUUCUCUGAUAUUUUACCAACCCGGGAGUGGCAUGUUGUUUUGGAACGACUUGUUGCCGAAAAAGAUGUUGGAGUGCUAGUGGAAGCAUGUCCUGCUCAAGAGGCUCAUAAUUCUUGUUUGCCUUACCUAACGCAUCAUACAGCUCCGCUUUCUUCUGCAUCGCCUUAUAUACCAAGUUUCGUAGCUCAUCUCUCUUCUGGUGGAUCUCGUGCUUAAGGUGACACACGAGCAGUAAGUAAGCACUGAUUACAACAUUAACAACAAAGCCUUUAUGCCGUGCUUGGUUUGGUUGUAAUUUAAUACUAGUGUAGUUAACUUCCAGGUGUAAUUUACAGACCAAGAGAUAUUUAAAACCAGAAACGAAAACAACCAGAGAAGACCUGUAUAUAUUUUACAAGUAUAUUUAGAACGAAAACGAGAAUCCAAACACGGCGUUAGUCCCAAACAAGUUGGGGUAGGCUAUAAGUAAGCGCUGAUUGUGAUGGGCAAAUAAUUUGAGAAGAAUAUUGUCUUGUAUAUCAAUUAAGUGAGGUUUGAAUGAUAUAUACAAUAUACUCCCUCCUUACCAAAAUAUAAGACGUUUUUGCAGUUCAAAUUGAAUAGCAAAAACGUCUUAUAUUUCGAUAGAGAGGUAGUACGGUUUUAUUAGACAUUUAUAAGACAAGACCCAAAACAGUUGAAUUUCGUCAGCUGUCUAAAACGUCAUACAAAAGUGAAGGGAGGAGUAUCUGAGAUUUUAGUGUUAGAUGGAUGCAUCGGCCGUAUUUAUAGGAAUGGAUUUAACACGAUGCUAAGGUAAUCUUGCUCUAUCAAAGAUUCAAACUUGUGUCCAAAUAGAAAAGUAAUCUUAACAGACGCAAGUUGGUGUUUCCAUUGCGCAGAAUUGGAUUAUCUCUCCAUGGCGUGAGAAAAAAACAUGAGGUAAAAUAAAAGAUGUCAGUUUUGGUUGAGAUACCUCACGGGUGUGCAAGAGCCUGCUUCUGCUUGGGGAGAAGAGCUGGGGUCGCUCCUCCGCCUGCGUUCGCUGGAGCAGGGAACCCCGGCCGAGCCUCCUCUCCACGGAUCGAAGCGCCGCCGACAUGGAUCUUAGGCCGGCUUGCAAGCACUUGGUUAGGGAUUUGGUCACCACCGCCGGCCGCUCCUCACCGCCGUGCCUAUACAAUCGA
rnacentral:lncRNA from 1 species